CAGUGCCUUUGCAAAGAUUUAAGUGCGGUGGGGGGCGUUCCCUUAGAGACCGUGACAUCACACCCUACCUUCCCAGGGUGAGAAGGCGAGCUCUCACAGAUUGCACCUCUCUACUCAUUUUCCUGGAUUCAGGAUCCACAGACCUGUGUACAACACGUAAAGGGGACAACAAAGCGAGAGGUGCCCGGGUGCUUUUCCUUGCAAACCUGCGAGGAGCCGGUCACUCUUGUCUGACUGCUACAGCAGCUCACAAGGAAUUCACCCCCAUGGCUUCGGCGAUGACUCUGCACAUGUGAUUUCCAUCCUUCUAACUGCGGCCUGGACGGACCUCUCUCCUGAGCUGGGGACUGUCGAUCUAUCACGUCUUUCCCCUGAACCUCCAGCAGAUAAUACCUCACAGCCAAUACAUUCACCAUCUCUCCUGAUCUAACUUCCAUUGCUUCCCGUCUCUGUGAACAGAACCACCAGCGGCAAAGACAGAAAAGUCGGGCACACUAUUUAAUCUUCCUUGUCUUUCCCCAGGCUCAUAUCAGCUCAUCACCCUGUCCAGGUGCCUCUUGAAUCCGUCCACCUUGCUGCAUAUCUUUGCUGGUGACUGUGCGUCAACAUCUAUAAUAUUUCAGAUCAGACGUUCCCUUUGCCUCUCUCCUGGCUCACCCAUACUCCAUCUCCACUCCUGGUGCACCAGUUUGAUCCCUGGUCUGGAAAGAUCCCACAUGCCAUGAGCCACAGCUACAGAAGCCCGCGUCGCCUAGAGCCCACACACCACACCUAGAGGAGCCACCGCGUGGGAAGGCCGUGCACUGCAGCUAGAGAAAGCCUGCCCGGCAACCAGGACCCAGGCAGACAAAAGUAAAACAAAUACAUCCACGAACUACAAGGAAAUGGUUCUGCGGGUCCUCAGAAAAUAAAUAAAUAAAAUAUACCAUGUCACUUUCUUGCCUAGAAUUCUCCAGUUGCGUCCCGUGACUUUCCUGCUGACCUCCUGAUUCCCUACUGUGACCUGCAAGACGCACCCUCACCCUACUCCCUACUCCCGUUCUGGCCUGACCCUGACCUCACCUGGAAUCCACCUGCUCGCCCAGCACGGCCUCAUGUCGGCCUUCCCGGCCUUUCAAGCUCUCCUCCAGCUGCGGGGCGAGCUGUCCCCUCUGCCUAGGGUGUCCCCCACCUCUGUCUGCACAGGCGGCUCCUUCACGUCAUCCGUGCUCCUCUUCAAAGGCCACUGCCCACAGAACACUUCCUUCUAGACAGACACUUAUGUAUUGACUUAUCUAAGUUGACGUCUGGUUUUGCUUUCUGUUCGUUGAAUGUAAUACUUUCAGAACAUCUCUCAUUUUACUACACUCUUCUAUUAUAUGUCUCCUCCCACCAGCACAUAGACUCAUACUUUUCUCCCCAUGCUUAGAACACUGUGUUGCAUAAAACAGGCGCGCAUAUAUUUGCUGAAUGAAUGAAUGCAUAAAUAACUAUAAAUAUAAUAAAGUAUAAAAAUAGUUUAUUUGAGGGGAAUCACCUAAGUUUAUCAAUAAAAAAAUUAUUAAAGUCGUUCCAUAGUGAAGACAAUAGAGAAACUAUUGUAUAGCUAAAAGCUAAAGUCACUGUACUGAUUAACUAAAAUAUAUUGCUAUUGAAUGUUCAGUGAACUAUCUACGAUUCUAAUGUGUCUGAAAUUAGUAGUGAUUAUGGUUCCAAGUUUGAGCCCCAGUGUUCUAAGUAUAGUGUAAGAUAACCAUGAAGUAUAUUCAUUUACACAGGAAUUUGUUGAGAAAACAAAAUUGAAUAAAAUGCCCAAAUGUGACAGUGAUAAAUGUAAAAUAAAGACUAAUCAAUGAGCUUGUGAUUAUAUGUUCGCUCCUUCUUUCUAAGUUGUAAGCAUGUGCUUUUAUAAUUGUUCAAGGCCAGUCAUGUAAAGUAACAAAAAGUAUAUCUAUAUUUUUGUCACUUAAAGAUAUUUCUUGGCACAUUAAAAAUGUCAAUUUCUAUUUCAACUUACUGAAGAAAAAUCUAUGAAGGAAUGAAAGUUAUAGAUGGCAGAAUCGAAUCUUCUAAAUUGCAUUGUUAUUAAAUAAGCCCAGAAUACACACCAUAUU
ensembl:lncRNA